rnacentral:snRNA from 1 species
AUAUAUCUUGGGGUUGCGCUACUGUUCAAUGAACGUAUAGUGAGAACAGUACUGCUAACACCGACACAACACAUAAGUUCCCUUUUGAUCUCUGAAUUA